rnacentral:rRNA from 1 species
GACGAACGCUGGCGGCGUGCCUAAUACAUGCAAGUUGAGCGCUGAAGGUUGGUACUUGUACCAACUGGAUGAGCAGCGAACGGGUGAGUACCGCGUGGGGAAUCUGCCUUUGAGCGGGGGACAACAUUUGGAAACGAAUGCUAAUACCGCAUAAAAACUUUAAACACAAGUUUUAAGUUUGAAAGAUGCAAUUGCAUCACUCAAAGAUGAUCCCGCGUUGUAUUAGCUAGUUGGUGAGGUAAAGGCUCACCAAGGCGAUGAUACAUAGCCGACCUGAGAGGGUGAUCGGCCACAUUGGGACUGAGACACGGCCCAAACUCCUACGGGAGGCAGCAGGAGGGAAUCUUCGGCAAUGGACGAAAGUCUGACCGAGCAACGCCGCGUGAGUGAAGAAGGUUUUCGGAUCGUAAAACUCUGUUGGUAGAGAAGAACGUUGGUGAGAGUGGAAAGCUCAUCAAGUGACGGUAACUACCCAGAAAGGGACGGCUAACUACGUG